UACGAAGGGGGCUAGCGUUGUUCGGAAUUACUGGGCGUAAAGCGCGCGCAGGCGGUUCUUCAAGUCAGUGGUGAAAGCCCGGAGCUCAACUCCGGAACUGCCAUUGAAACUGUGGAACUUGAGGAUGAGAGAGGUGAGUGGAAUUCCCAGUGUAGAGGUGAAAUUCGUAGAUAUUGGGAAGAACACCGGUGGCGAAGGCGGUUCUCUGGGCCUUACCUGACGCUGAGGAGCGAAAGCGUGGGGAGCGAACAGG
rnacentral:rRNA from 1 species